rnacentral:ncRNA from 2 species
AACUAUUUGCGGGGGGACUUUAAAAAGUUGAGAAGGAUAAAACCUGACCCUUUGAACCUGUUAGCUAAUACUGACGUAGGGAGCAAAUCAUCUACUUAU